GGCUCCACAGUGUAGUGGUUUGCACAUCUGCUUUACACGCAGAAGGUCCUGGGUUCGCACCUCAGGUAGAGCCA
rnacentral:tRNA from 1 species